rnacentral:rRNA from 1 species
UUGACGGGGGCCCGCACAAGCGGCGGAGCAUGUGGCUUAAUUCGAUGCAACGCGAAGAACCUUACCAGGGCUUGACAUGCAGGGAAAUCUCGUGGAGAUACGGGGUCCGUAAGGGUCCUGCACAGGUGGUGCAUGGCUGUCGUCAGCUCGUGUCGUGAGAUGUUGGGUUAAGUCCCGCAACGAGCGCAACCCUCGUCCUAUGUUGCCAGCGAGUUAUGUCGGGGACUCAUAGGAGACUGCCGGGGUCAACUCGGAGGAAGGUGGGGAU